GUCCGAUCUGCUGCUGGGGAUAAGGAAUGUGCACUGCUAUGUGUGAUAAAUCAUACAAGUCACUCUGCUCACUCACUUGCAAUGCUCAGGCUCCGGAGCUGCACGGACACAAGGGAAGCAGCAAAGCACAUCUACCAGUGCUGCUGAUGCUGCUACUGCUGCAGGUGCAGGUGCAGCUGCUGAAGGUGCAGCUGAUGGUGAUGCUGCCAAUGAAGGUGAUCAAAAACUAAUAUUGCCCAUCAGUAUUUAUACCGAAUCCAGCCACAGCUUCUCCUUGGCCGCAACACACCCGGACAUUAUGUGCAGCACCCCUGAUGGAGCAAGCAUUGGCCGUUAUACAGCUGAGGUCCGAAGGGCUUUGGGACACCCUCCAAUAUCUACGAUCUCCUCCUUAGAAAUGAAGAUGAGACUUGACUGAGAAUGGACCAUGGCCUGCAGAGCUCUAAGAAACGCUUAGAGUUCCAUAAUGUUGAGUGGUAACCUCACCUCCAGAGGGAACCAGACUCCUUGCACCCUUGAAACAUCUAGAUGUUCCCCUGGCCCAGGCGAGUGUUGAUGACAGCACUGAAAACAAAGAAAGGAAAGCAAAAAAGGAUGCCUAAAUGCAAUAGAGCAAGGAAACCAAGUACAUUUGACAUUAGCAAUAAGUAAAAUAGGACCCUUGUAAGACACUCUAAAAGCUGCCUGAGCAUUAGUGCUUACCUUCCACAUAUGCUAGGUAGGUGCAUGGUUGUAGAUUUAUUAUGCUGCGGAUGCAGCUGUUUCCGUGCGCGCCUUCAGGCUUGCAGGAAACAAAAGUUAAGAAGCAGCAGUCAUUGACCGCUGUUCCUUAACUCAUCCACCACCUCUGAGGUGGCAGACAGCAAUCUUCCCAAUCGGAUUCGAUUGAGAUGACUGACACCCCAUGCUAGCGGCCGUUUGUCCGCAAAUGUGCAGGGGGCGUCAUUGCACAAGCAUUUUACCAGAAAUGCUUGUACAAUGAUAAAUGCUGACAGCGUAUGCCACAGCAAAUCAUGUUUGUCCGACAUUUCAUAAAUCUACCCCAUGAAAUCUAUGUGAAAUACUGAGCAUAGCACCUUGUCAUACCUGCACCUGAAAAUGAGUCUGUGAUUCUGUGGUAAUACAGGAUUACCAGCACUGCAUAAAAUUGAGUCAAAGUGCCCCUUAGUAGGUUAAAAGGGGUUUACACUUCCUGUUCAACACACAAAACUGUGGACAGAUGGGGGUUACACAAUUAAAAAGCAAAUUGUACAAAAACUAGGAUUAAAAUUAUUCACACCAGUACUAGCCUACAGUACACCUCAGAACAUAAAAGAGCUAAGAGAAUGAAAAUUAAGUAGCAAAGUUAACCUUCUACACCCAGCACCUCUAGCAGCUCUUGCCUACAGGGCACAGAAGGGGUUAAACUUGCCAGAAUAAAACACCAAAAUUAGAAUCCACUCAAUUAAAUUCACAGCAGCUGAAGCAGAGAAGGGUAAGGUUGCCAAGGAGAGGGGUGGGGCUUAUCACCAUAAUAAUAUGCAAGCCCAAGGCUUGUGCAGUAAUUUGAAAUAAACUGGUAAAAUUUAAAAUUGUGAAAACAAAUAAACACCUCUCCUAAGGCCCCUGUGUCCUCCUGCUCAACUGCAAUGUGAGAGAUUUAACUGAUAACUGCACAAGGCAGUUACUGACUCGAUUAAAUAGUUAGUCUUUAUUUGUAGAAAAAUGCUUAAAGGGACAGUCUACACCCUAUAUAAAAGUAUUUUUUGAUAUUUUUAAACACCACACAAGCAUCUUUCACCAUGUCCCUCCUCUAUAAGCUUUAAAGAAGUUGCCAAAAAUGUAAAAUUUUUAAACUUCGUUAGUAACCUAAAAUGGCUGCCAAGCUCCGCCCACCGUUUUGUGUGUAGUGGGAUAUGAUUAGUUUCCUACAAUCACCAUCGACUCGUAAAUAAGUUUUAGUACGCGCUCCCGAUGAUUAAAAGAUGAGCAGUUGACACAUAUGGUGUUGCUGCCUAAUCAUUCCCCAAAUACUACAUCUUGCAAUUUUUGUUCCGGAAGACUGAUUGCGGCUCUGCAUAUUGCUAUACUGGCAUCUUGGACGGUAAAUGACUCAAAUAAAAUAUGUGUAUUAGCUA